rnacentral:tRNA from 1 species
GAGGGUAUAGCUCAGUGGUAGAGCGUGUGCUUAGCAUGCAUGAGGUUCUGGGUUCAAUCCCUAGUACCUUCA